rnacentral:lncRNA from 1 species
CUACAGUCCAUGGGAUAGCAAAGGGUCAGACCUGACUUAGUGCCUAUCCCCUUUAUCUAUUAAAGAGACUUUAUCCCAGCCACUCAUAUGGUUGGCUAAUUUCCUGAUUACCAUAAAAGUUGGACAACGAGUAAGGAUUUCUUGACUGAGCCUCGUCUAGCUUCACCUGAUUUUUGAAAGUUUGCUUGGGCAGAAUUUUUGCACCUAUAGGAGACCUGCCACCUGUCAAACAUUUGCAGUUUUGUUAAUAUUUCAAAUCUGUAACAUUUCCACAGAAGUGGGUUUCCUUCCUAGGUUUUUCAGUUUCCUUACAGAUGUUCUCCAUUUCUCAAAGUGUGUUUCAUGGAACUCUAUUUUUACAUGACUUUCAAAUAUGUGUCUUUUUAAAGUGUCCUUCUUAAGAAGCUGGGAAAUUCUGCACAGAAUCUCUGAAAGGUUCCCAAUGUGUGUUUUAAAAAUGAAUGUCCAGAAAAAAUAAAUAAAUAAAAAUGAAUGUCCAUAAUGAAUCUUUAAGGGAGUCUAGUACGCUUUGAUUAGCAUAAGAAAAAAACUUUAACAGGAACUUUUACAUAUAACUGGGGUGGGGGUGGUCAGGACUGGGUGGGCGGCUGCUGAUCCCUCUGUGGAGUUUCCUCUGAAUUACGGUGAUUUCUACAGUUACUGUUGCAGCUUUAAGUACCUUAAAGCUUCUGGUAUCAACAUUUUAGGGAAAUGGUAGGCUCAGAACUAAACUGUCUGGGUGGGUUUUUGCGUGGAGGACAGGGGUAGUCUUUUGAUAUUCAUUUUUUUGUUUUUGAGCUUUUCUGCUCUAGGAUACGGGAGAUGAACUUUAUUUACAAUACUUUACUUUGGCAGGUUUUCUUCUACUUUCGGUCUGCCUGGAACUGUUUCCAUAUGAUGUAAAAAGCAGGUGUAGUGUCCCAUUAUUAUGUGGUUUGGGGAUUUUUUAAUUUGUUUUUUAAAAUUAACCAUGUCAGCUGGGAUUAGACUCCCUAGAAUCUAUCAAUGGAAAAGUAACAAUGAAAAAAUGCUUUUGGAAAUUCAGAUUUCAGACAAAAAGUGCUUAAGACCUGGUAUUUUUUCUAAGUGCUUCUAUUUAUACCAGAAGCAUUAAGGUAACCCAGUGCCAAGUACCAUUCUUGAAAAAUUCUUUUAAAUAACCGACCAGUGCUUAUUUAAUAAAAACAAGUAGAUACAUAUAAAUAAUUACUGGCAGUAGGUUAUAAUUAUUGGGUUAAAAAUAACAUUGAAAUAUGGGACUUCCUGCCAGUUGGGUAAUUUUCACUAAUUUUCUUUUGUUGUUGGUAUGUUUUGAUUUAAAACCUGAAAGUGGAGUAAAAUAUGACUAUUUAAAAUGUUGGCCCCCCGAAAAUCAAGAUUUAGAUAUGUAUUUGUACUGAAAAAACUAAAUCAUAACUACUAAAUCUUAGCCAUCUUAGGCUUGAAA